rnacentral:snRNA from 1 species
GGAUGUGAGGGCCAUCUGGCUGACAACUGUCACCCCACUGAUGGCCAGGGUUGGCUUGGAGGACCUGGCUGGCUAGAGGGUGUCUCCUUCCUCCCUCACUAUCAAUGUGAGUGCUCCAUGGAAGAGGUUGACCAGCUCCUUUACAAGAGGACUGGCUCCCCAGUGAAGGUCAAGGAUAUAUGAGUGGCUCUGCUAGAAUCUCCAAACAAACUCUUAAGAAAAGGUAUUAUUCAGAAUGCAUUACUGGAGGAAAGUUGCAUUUCUGUUAACCUUAUUUUGAUGAAAGCUUUAUAUUUACAAGUUGAAAAAAUAGUGA